GACGAACGCUGGCGGCGUGCUUAACACAUGCAAGUCGAGCGGUAAGGCCCUUUCGGGGGUACACGAGCGGCGAACGGGUGAGUAACACGUGGGUGACCUGCCCUCAGCUCUGGGAUAAGCCUGGGAAACCGGGUCUAAUACUGGAUAUGACUCCAUGACGCAUGUUGUGGGGUGGAAAGCCUUGUGCGGCUGAGGACGGGCCCGCGGCCUAUCAGCUUGUUGGUGGGGUGAUGGCCUACCAAGGCGACGACGGGUAGCCGGCCUGAGAGGGCGACCGGCCACACUGGGACUGAGACACGGCCCAGACUCCUACGGGAGGCAGCAGUGGGGAAUCUUGCGCAAUGGGCGAAAGCCUGACGCAGCGACGCCGCGUGAGGG
rnacentral:rRNA from 1 species